rnacentral:rRNA from 1 species
AUUGAACGCUGGCGGCAGGCCUAACACAUGCAAGUCGAGCGGAGCGGCGGACGGGUGAGUAAUAUAUCGGAACGUACCGAGUAAUGGGGGAUAACCAAUCGAAAGAUUGGCUAAUACCGCAUAUUAUUCGAGCGGCCGAUAACUGAUUAGCUAGUUGGUGGGGUAAAGGCCUACCAAGGCGACGAUCCGUAACUGGUCUGAGAGGAUGAUCAGUCACACUGGAACUGAGACACGGUCCAGACUCCUACGGGAGGCAGCAGUGGGGAAUAUUGGACAAUGGGCGAAAGCCUGAUCUAGCCAUGCCGCGUGUGUGAAGAAGGUCUUCGGAUUGUAAAGCACUUUAAGUUGGGAGGCGUUACCAACAGAAUAAGCACCGGCUAACUUCGUGCCAGCAGCCGCGGUAAUUC